rnacentral:rRNA from 1 species
GGAGGAGCAUGUGGUUUAAUUCGAUGAUACGCGAGGAACCUUACCUGGGCUCGAACGUAAGAUGACUGUAGGUGAAAGCUUACAUCUCUUCGGAGCAUUUUACGAGGUGCUGCAUGGUUGUCGUCAGCUCGUGCCGUGAGGUGUCGGGUUAAGUCCCAUAACGAGCGCAACCCUACCUUUAGUUGCCAUCAGGUAAUGCUGGGGACUCUAAAGGAACUGCCUACGCAAGUAGUGAGGAAGCGGGGAUGACGUCAAAUCAGCACGGCCCUUACGUCCAGGGCUACACACGUGCUACAAUGGCCGAUACAGAGGGCAGCUACCUGGUGACAGGAUGCAAAUCUCCAAAGUCGGUCUCAGUUCGGAUCGGAGUCUGCAACCCGACUCCGUGAAGUUGGAUUCGCUAGUAAUCGCGCAUCAGCCAUGGCGCGGUGAAUACGUUCCCGGGCCUU